UUUUUUUUUUUUUUGUCUCCCUUAAUCCAUCCCAUCUAUUUUUUUAGUUUCCGAGCAACUAAGUAUCUAGUGAGUGUUGAUAUACUAGUUGGUUCCAGUGUAGUUUCUACCGACGAAUUAGAAAUUGUUUUAUCUUGGGGACGACAGGUAACUUUUAUUUGUUUCCACAUCUGAGUAGAGCCCCAAAAAAUCUGAAAGGGAGCGAGAUCUUUAACUUAGCCAUUUUAUUAACGUGCUUUUGUUUUACAGGUUUUCCUACUACGACACUUAGCUCCAUUAAAGUGCAAUAAUAGUUCCAUCCCUUCACUUCAUACAUCGACUUAAGGUACCAAGUCCUAAGAUCUUUGAGGUCAAGAGAGAGAGGUUAGAGAAGAGUUCAUAUGGUUUUUGGAGCAAGAGGUGAUCUUGAGAAUAAGAAGAUUGAUUUUACCUUGAAGAUGGGAGUUUGAUCGUUAGAUAACACCUUCUCUCCUUUUCUUGUCUUUUACUUUUCACAGUAAAUUUUGGUACUCUUAAUAUGUUUAUAUCUAUGAAAGUCAUGUUAGACUUUUUUUUUUUUUUUUUUUUUUACAAUUGUAGGGUUUCUAAUGGUAUCAUGUAGUUAUGAACUAAUUUUAAACUCUAUGGGAAUCUUGA
rnacentral:lncRNA from 1 species